UGUAAGCCCCAUAAUCCCCAUAAUCCUCAU
rnacentral:piRNA from 1 species